UACGUAGGGACCAAGCGUUGUUCGGAUUUACUGGGCGUAAAGGGCGCGUAGGCGGCAAUUCAAGUCAUCUGUGAAAUCUCCGGGCUUAACCCGGAACGGUCAGAUGAUACUGCUUUGCUAGAGUGCGGAAGGGGCAAUCGGAAUUCUCGGUGUAGCGGUGAAAUGCGUAGAUAUCAAGAGGAACACCUGAGGUGAAGACGGGUUGCUGGGCUGACACUGACGCUGAGGCGCGAAAGCUAGGGUAGCAAACAGG
rnacentral:rRNA from 1 species